GGUUUGGUGUAGUGGUUAGCACUCUAGAAUUUGAAUCCAACUACCUGGGUUCAAAUCCCGGUAAGACCU
rfam:Picea glauca, whole genome shotgun sequence.